GUGCCCUCUUUGGCAGCACAUAUACUAAAAUUGGAACGAUACAGAGAUGAUUAGCAUGGCCCCUGCGCA
ensembl:snRNA U6 U6 spliceosomal RNA